GGGCCCGCACAAGCAGCGGAGCAUGUGGCUUAAUUCGACGCAACGCGAAGAACCUUACCAAGGCUUGACAUAUACCGGAAAGCAUCAGAGAUGGUGCCCCCCUUGUGGUCGGUAUACAGGUGGUGCA
rnacentral:rRNA from 1 species